UACGUAGGGUGCAAGCGUUAAUCGGAAUUACUGGGCGUAAAGCGUGCGCAGGCGGUUUCGUAAGUCUGUCGUGAAAUCCCCGGGCUUAACCUGGGAAUGGCGAUGAAGACUGCGAGGCUAGAGUUUGGCAGAGGGGGGUAGAAUUCCACGUGUAGCAGUGAAAUGCGUAGAGAUGUGGAGGAACACCGAUGGCGAAGGCAGCCCCCUGGGUCAAAACUGACGCUCAUGCACGAAAGCGUGGGGAGCAAACAGG
rnacentral:rRNA from 1 species